CAAGCAAGCCAAGGACCAUAUGUUUUUUGUGUUACACUUUCAGCAUCUAAGCUUAUUAUAUUCAACACAAGGAGAAAGUCCCCGGAAAACAAAAUAUCUUCUGUCCAAUGAUUAAAGAUUAGGGCAGUGGGGUAUUUAGUAAAGCAACUUUGUUUGUUGUUUUUUUCAUAAUAAAAAGUAAUAUGGUCACCCUAUAAUAAUGGGGCAACUUAAUGGGGCUUACUCUGGCUUGUUU
rnacentral:RNase_MRP_RNA from 2 species